CCCCUCGUAGCCCAAUUGGCAGAGGCAGCCGACUUAAAAUCGGCGCAGUGCGGGUUCGAGUCCCGCCGGGGGGA
rnacentral:tRNA from 1 species